rnacentral:rRNA from 1 species
AAAGAAACUAACAAGGAUUCCCCUAGUAACGGCGAGUGAAGCGGGAAGAGCUCAAGCUUAAAAUCUCCGUGCAGGUUCUGCUCGGCGAAUUGUAGUCUAUGGAUGCGUUAUCAGUGUGGCCGGUCGGGGUAAGUUCCUUGGAAGAGGACAGCAUCGAGGGUGAUACUCCCGUUUGUACCUGACUGUGUUGCGCGUACGAUGCGUGUUCUUUGAGUCGCGUUGUUUGGGAAUGCAGCGCAAAGUAGGUGGUAAAUUCCAUCUAAAGCUAAAUAUUGGUGCGAGACCGAUAGCGAACAAGUACCGUGAGGGAAAGAUGAAAAGAACUUUGAAAAGAGAGUUAAAGAGUACCUGAAACUGCUGAAAGGGAACCGGGUCGUUGCCAGUGUCUAUAAUCCUUGGCAUAUUUCAUUGGUGCGAGUGUCUGUUCCGCGUGCGUGUAUCAGUUUGUUCUGUGCUGCGCGUGGUUGUGGGUGCUUGUGCCGGUGCCCUGUGCUUUGGUGGGACGUCAGAGUCAGUUCGUAUGCUGCGGGAAAUGGUCGUGCAGGAGGUAGGUCGGGGGCUUGCUCUCGGCUGUUAUAUCUGUGCGUGCCAGUAGUCGUGGCUGGGACUGAGGUGCCUACAACGUGCUUUUGAGUCUUUGGGUCGCUCUGUGCGCGCGCGUGCGGGAUAGCUUGCUAUGCCGUGUGCGUUUUGCUGUGUGGAUGGCGUGCUCUCUGCAAC